AGUAUGUCGAUUACGUGGUUUAAUGGCUUCUUCACGUUUUGAGAUCAUCAUCGCCGUCCAGAUUCGCCAUUACAAGUGAGAUGGAUAACACCGUUUUUUGGUUUGUAUUGGGGAUAACAAAGCUACCUAGGAUUUAAGCUAUUUGCUGCCGUUGAUGGAACUAAUCGGAUAUGAGCCAAUCACCACCGCAACCAUUCAGGUCACCACUCUCUCUUCUUUGUUUGUACGCAUGUAUCUGUAUGUAUCUAUCACAACUCAAUUCUCAAUUGUGUGUUUAAUUUCUUUCUUUCACUUUUGUUGCAAUUCAAGUUUCAAUUAUAGUCAGAUCUGAUAUUGAUUCAUUCAAGUACUACUAUCAUGCAUGUUUGUUUGAUUUUAUCUAUUAAACUAUCGAGAUUCUCAUCGUGUGGUUUAAUUGUAAUGUUUUGGUGAUGGUGAUUGGUGAGCAUGAAUCUAGGUGAUAUGCAAUCGUAAGAAAUUCUAUUUUAACUUUUUGAUAAAACUGAAAUGGAAUUGCAUUAUAAUGUUUUAACUUCUGUUAUCGGUGUAGAUCUAUGAUUGGAUAAGUACAAUUUCUACGAGAUAUCUGUUUCACUCGGCGUGUCAGCUGUAAAACUUGAAUUUUUUGUUUCUGAAAAUACGAGAUUGAUUUGGGAGAUAGUUCAUAAUUAUGUGGAUUUGGAUGUUGUGAAUCAUGGUGUAACGGAGGUUACGUUUUGAAUCCAUAAUUAUCAUGAUUUUUAGAUAUUUAGGCAAUAAUUUAUUCUUAAAUUAGAUUGGCUUUAAUUACGAGAUCUCUUUUAUUCUCUAUUCAUUAUUUGUCUCCAUUAGCUUUAAUUAGAACAGUUACAUUUUGAAUUGUAAUUGUGAUUGGAUAAAUAUUCUUUAUGAAUAUUUAAAUACCUUUAAGUACCAUUUAUGGGAGUCAUUAAUCAUGACUUUAUUGUGCCUUUAAUGGCUUUAUUGUGCCUUUAAUGGGGCUUUAUUGUGCCUUUAAUGGCUUUUUGUUCCAAUUUGGAUGCCAUUUUUAUGGCUUAUUUGACUUGUUGAUGAUUAUAUAUAAUAUAUUUAAUCAUGUUUUAAACUUUAUUUUAUUCAUCACUUAAAUUAUUAAUUUUUAAUGUGUCUAACCAAAGGAUUUUCCUUUGGUUAGAAAUUAGUUUAUAUUUCUAUAUUUUUUAAUUUAUUUUUGUUAUAUAUACUCUUUUGUUUUGUUUUUAUUAGAUUUUCUAUCAUUUUUACAUUACAUUAAAUAUAUAUAUAUAUAUGUGUGUGCGCGCGCGCGCGUGUGAUUUACUUGUAUACAGAUUUAUGUUUUUUUGGUUUGUUUUGUUUUUUUCAGGAUAAUUUGGAAGCGAGCUGGUUCGUGGCUUAUGGGUGUUCUUUUCUCAUUCAUUUAAGCUUUAUUGUCUAAGCGUCCGGAGUUGUGCUUGCAUGACUUUCGGUUAGAUGAUAAACUUUCUUGAAAGAAAGAUAUCCCGGAUGCGGUUUAUUGUAUUUCGAUACAAUUCAUCUACGUAUAUGUAGACCUUACAAAAAAAAAAAAAAA
rnacentral:lncRNA from 1 species